AGUGAACGCUGGCGGUAGGCCUAACACAUGCAAGUCGAACGGCAGCACAGUAAGAUCUUGCUCUUACGGUUGGCGAGUGGCGGACGGGUGAGGAAUACAUCGGAAUCUACUUUUUCGUGGGUGAUAACGUAGGGAAACUUACGCUAAUACCGCAUACGACCUACGGGUGAAAGCAGUAGAUCUUCGGACCUUUCGCGAUUGAAUGAGCCGAUGUCGGAUUAGCUAGUUGGGAUGGUAAAGGCCCACCAAGGCGACGAUCCGUAGCUGAGCUGAGAGGAUGGGCGGCCACACGGGAACAGAGAAACGGUCCAGACUCCUACGGGAGGCAGCAGGAGGGAAUCGUCCGCAAUGGGCGAAAGCCUUAAGGAGCAACGCCGCGGAAGUGAUGAAGGUCUUCGGAUCGUAAAACUCUAUUAGUAGGUAAGAACAAAUGUCUAAGUAACUAUGCACGUCUUGACGGUACCUAAUCAGAAAGCCACGGCUAACUACGUG
rnacentral:rRNA from 1 species